rnacentral:lncRNA from 1 species
GGGGGGGGGGGGGGGGGAAUAAAUAUUGUUGUUCUACCCUUCUUUCCGUCACAUAUCUCAGAUUACUGUCUAGAUUUGCAUGUGAGCAUUUUAAACCAACGGCACAGAGGCUUGGCUCAGAGCUUGUGGUUUUCCACUGGUGGAUCCUGGAACUGAGAGUGCCGAGCGAGGCCCAAUAAUAGAACCAGUUCUGUUUUCCAUCACAGCCAGCUCUGAACCAAAACACCUAGAUUUCAUUCACAUCAGUGGCUGGAUAUUAAAAGCUGAUAUUUUUAACACUGCAGCCUGUUUUUCUAUUUUCCCCCCUGCAGCAUUUGAAGAUGAUGCGAUUGCUGUUCCUGUGUCUGCUGCUGCUGCUGCCAGCUGCCACUGUUUCUUCAGAGGACUUUGGUGGAUCAGGUGAUGAAAGCGACGAUGAGGACGACUUCAUCGACAGAGACACUGCAGUUGCUAUUGGUACGGACAAAGCCACAGGUACAGAAGAAUCCUCAGAUCAGAUGACCGUGAUCAUCGUCGUCGCGGCCGUCGCAGUGGUGGCUCUUUCUGUCGCAGUCGUAAUCGCCGUCAUGCUAAUCAAACGAAAUACGAGACUUCGGCAGCAAGCGAUUUACUCUGUGCCCACGGAGCAGAACGUGAAGGAGGCCAUCUAA